ACGAGGCCAUCCCAAAACCCACCGCUCCUCAACGAGAACCUCUGCCCCUGAGCCCCCUGGUCCUGUUCCCCGGCCAGGACUGAAGCUGAACCUGCUGGUGAAGGUGGUGCAGCUUCCCAAGCCACGUCAAGGACUGAGGCUGUGGGAGAUGCUGAGGGUGUGUCUGCAGGGAGGACUUCUCCAGCUCCUUUGCUGAUUCUUACACGGAAGCCUGCCUCCCAUCGCAGGGGUCCUCCGAGGGGAAAGAACAAAGCUACAGGACACCAGAAACCCCAUGAUCCAUUCGAAAACAUGAGGCAAAUGCUGAAGGAAAUGCAGCAGGCAGGACAAGUGGAUGGAGAGGCUGGGCAUAAGGCGGCGUUUCCCAGAGGAAGCAGGUGCUCCAUUCCAGACUCUGCUGCAGGAAGGGAGAUGAUGCCACGCACAGGCAGAGGAG